rnacentral:sRNA from 1 species
UGAUUUUGGUGCAGAUACAACUUCGUACUGUUCCCAGGGGAUGUAUUGAAGAUGGGGAUGCCAACUUAUAGCUUUUCAGUUCAAACAUCACAUUUGACUUCCAUGGUGGAAGAAGGUUUUGAUUUCAAUGCCUGCAUAUAUAAUGGAGCGUGGAUUACAUUCUGCAGAUUUGAUUUCAUUCCUGGUGGAACUUAGUUUUCAUGUUAAUGGCGAGGCAUAUAACAUAAAUUACAUUGAAUGAAAGGCAAAAAAAUAUGGUUAAGGAUCUUGCAGAUUUGGGACUGAUCAAACUUCAGCAGGGAAGGAAAGACGGUUUAUACCUACUAACGUGGCUACUAAUCUUUUAGUUAGCUUGACAGACUCAUCAUCGAGGAAACAAGGAUUUGUUAGUGGAAACAAACUCAGGCUCUAUGCCUACUCAAUAUCCAAACUACAUAGUGAAAUUUUAUGUCUUUUCCUAGCUGUUUUCCCCUUUUAGGGGCGGAUCGACGGUGGGUCAAAGUUGGUCAGUUGACCACAUGGACGCUGGAAAGUUGGCUGGGGAGAGCACCCAAAUUGUUUCUCGCAUCUUGGAUAAGGCACUGAAGGCAAUGCUGUCUCCUGAUUUCAGCCUUUGUCUCUGCUUAAUUCCAGAAAGAGUGUUGGCUUGCAAGUGUAGUCUAGGCAGGCACAAAAGAGAUCACU